UCUGUUACACCGAGUUCCACCUGGCCCCCGGGUUCCACCGCUCGAAGGGCGCGCGACCUCUGGACCUCGCCGAGCUGGAAUACAAUGGUGCGAUCUCGGCUCACUGCAACCUCCACCUCCCAGGUUCAAGCGAUUCUCCUGCCUCAGCCUCCCGAGUAGCUGAGAUUACAGGGGUCUCGCUGUGUUGCCCAGCUGCUCUCCAACUCCCAGCCUCAAGCAAUCCUCCUGCUUCAGCCACUGAUCUCACUCAGUGGUUCAGUGGGAUUACAGCCGUGAGCCACUGCACCCAGCCAUAAAUUCUUUUAUAUUUAAA